rnacentral:rRNA from 1 species
GAUGAACGCUGGCGGCGUGCUUAACACAUGCAAGUCGAGCGAGAAGUUUUGAAAAGAUUCUUCGGAUGAAAUUUAAAAUGGAAAGCGGCGGACGGGUGAGUAACGCGUAGGCAACCUGCCCCAUACAAAGGGAUAGCAUUUGGAAACGAAUAUUAAUUCCUUAUGAAACUUAACUAGUGCAUGCUAGGUAGGUCAAAGAUUUAUCGGUAUGGGAUGGGCCUGCGUCUGAUUAGCUAGUUGGUGAGGUAACGGCUCACCAAGGCGACGAUCAGUAGCCGACCUGAGAGGGUGAACGGCCACAUUGGUACUGAGACACGGUCCAAACUCCUACGGGAGGCAGCAGUGGGGAAUAUUGCACAAUGGGGGAAACCCUGAUGCAGCAACGCCGCGUGAACGAUGAAGGCCUUUGGGUCGUAAAGUUCUGUUCUAGGUGAUGAAAACUGACAGUAACCUAGGAGAAAGCCCCGGCUAACUCCGUG